CCAUGCAUUGCCGUUGAAACUGGCGAUCUUGAGUGCAGGCAGGGAUGCCGGAAUUCGUGGUGUAGCGGUGAAAUGCUUAGAUAUCACGAAGAACUCCGAUCGCGAAGGCAGGUGUCCGGGCUGCAACUGACGCUGAGGCUCGAAAGUGUGGGUAUCAAAAAGG
rnacentral:rRNA from 1 species